GAGAGUUUGAUCCUGGCUCAGGAUGAACGCUAGCGACAGGCCUAACACAUGCAAGUCGAGGGGCAGCAUUUCUAGCUUGCUAGAAGAUGGCGACCGGCGCACGGGUGAGUAACGCGUAUGCAACCUACCUUAUACUGGGGGAUAGCCCAAAGAAAUUUGGAUUAAUACCGCAUAACAUAUUUGAAUCGCAUGGUUUAAAUAUUAAAACUCCGGUGGUAUAAGAUGGGCAUGCGUAGCAUUAGUUUGUUGGUGAGGUAACGGCUCACCAAGACUAUGAUGCUUAGGGGGUCUGAGAGGAUAGUCCCCCACACUGGUACUGAGACACGGACCAGACUCCUACGGGAGGCAGCAGUGAGGAAUAUUGGUCAAUGGACGCAAGUCUGAACCAGCCAUGUCGCGUGCAGGAUGACGGCCCUAUGGGUUGUAAACUGCUUUUUUUACAGGAAUAAUUGUCGCUACGUGUAGAGAUUUGAAUGUACUGUAUGAAUAAGGAUCGGCUAACUCCGUGCCAGCAGCCGCGGUAAUACGGAGGAUUCGAGCGUUAUCCGGAUUUAUUGGGUUUAAAGGGUCCGUAGGCGGUUCUUUAAGUCAGUGGUGAAAUCCCAGAGCUCAACUCUGGAACUGCCAUUGAAACUGAAGAACUUGAAUAUGGUUGAGGUAGGCGGAAUACGUUAUGUAGCGGUGAAAUGCAUAGAUAUAACGUAGAACACCAAUUGCGAAGGCAGCUUACUAAUCUAUAACUGACGCUGAUGCACGAAAGCGUGGGUAGCGAACAGGAUUAGAUACCCUGGUAGUCCACGCUGUAAACGAUGUUCACUCGUUGUUGGCAAUACAUCGUCAGCGACUAAGCGAAAGUGAUAAGUGAACCACCUGGGGAGUACGAUCGCAAGGUUGAAACUCAAAGGAAUUGACGGGGGCCCGCACAAGCGGAGGAGCAUGUGGUUUAAUUCGAUGAUACGCGAGGAACCUUACCUGGGCUUAAAUGUAGAUUGACAGUCAAAGAGAUUUGAUUUUCUUCGGACAAUUUACAAGGUGCUGCAUGGUUGUCGUCAGCUCGUGCCGUGAGGUGUCGGGUUAAGUCCCAUAACGAGCGCAACCCUUACCGUUAGUUGCCAUCAGGUCAAGCUGGGGACUCUAGCGGAACUGCCUGCGCAAGCAGAGAGGAAGGUGGGGAUGACGUCAAAUCAGCACGGCCCUUAUGUCCAGGGCUACACACGUGCUACAAUGGUCGGUACAGAGGGCAGCCACCUGGUGACAGGGAGCGAAUCUCAAAAACUCGUCUCAGUUCGGAUUGAAGUCUGCAACUCGACUUCAUGAAGCUGGAAUCGCUAGUAAUCGCGCAUCAGCCAUGGCGCGGUGAAUACGUUCCCGGGCCUUGUACACACCGCCCGUCAAACCAUGGAAGCUGGGGGUGCCUGAAGUCGGUAACCGCAAGGAGCCGCCUAGGGUAAAUCUGGUAACUAGGGUUAAGUCGGAACAAGGUAGCCGUAG
rnacentral:rRNA from 1 species